rnacentral:lncRNA from 1 species
UCUCCUGACCCUUUCCAUCUAAACCUCCUACUGCUUCCACAGCAAUAAUAUUCACAACAUUAUCAAGGGGUUGAGGGGAAGGGAGCAUUGAGUCAAUACCUGUGACUGCUGGUCCUUUAAAAACUUCUUUUCCUUUAUUGUUACCUGUUGAAGAUAUAGGAAUGUUAUCCACCUGUACCUGUUUGUUAGUGUUAUCCUUUCCCAUAUUUGUUG